GGAUUCCCCUAGUAACUGCGAGUGAAGCGGGAAGAGCUCAAAUUUUGAAUCUGGCGGUCGUUUCGGCCGUCCGAGUUGUAAUCUAGAGAAGCGUUUUCCGCACUGGCCCGUGUACAAGUCUCCUGGAAGGGAGCGUCAUAGAGGGUGAGAAUCCCGUCUUUGACACGGACUACCAGUGCUAUGUGAUGCGCUCUCGACGAGUCGAGUUGUUUGGGAAUGCAGCUCAAAACGGGUGGUAAACUCCAUCUAAAGCUAAAUACAGGCGAGAGACCGAUAGCGAACAAGUACCGUGAGGGAAAGAUGAAAAGAACUUUGGAAAGAGAGUUAAACAGUACGUGAAAUUGCUGAAAGGGAAACGCUCGAUGUCAGUCGCGUCGGCCGGGGAUCAACCUUGCUUCUCGCUGGGUGUACUUCCUGGUCGACGGGUCAGCAUCAGUUUCGGUCGUCGUACAAUGGCGGAGGGAACGUGGCACUCUUUCGGGGGUGUGUUAUAGCCUUUCGUCGUAUGCGGCGGUCGGGACUGAGGAACUCAGCAACGACCUUCGGGUCUGUGCUUAGGAUGCUGGCAUAAUGGCCUUGAGCGACCCGUCUUGAAACACGGACCAAGGAGUCUAACAUGCAUGCGAGUGUUCGGGUGGAAAACCCGUGCGCGAAAUGAAAGUGAAAGUCGAGACCUCUGUCGUGGAGGG
rnacentral:rRNA from 1 species